rnacentral:lncRNA from 1 species
GCAUUGCAAAGCAAUAGCAAACUUCCCAAUCCAUAGACACAAGAACACGAUCAAGCUGUGCCAUAACCGGAGUUUGUCGCUCAUUACUCCAUGUAUAUCUUCUGCCCUGGAGGUAGAUCUCUUUCAGGUUGACAUCAUCCACGAAGCGCCGGAAGCGACCGAUAUUGCGACGAUUAAUGUUGGAGGUGCUUUUCUCCGAUGCUCGCAAGAUGAGGUUGAAGUCCCCCACAACAAGCCACCU